rnacentral:lncRNA from 1 species
GAAGAAAAGAAAAGAAAGAUUCCUGUUCGUAUGUUGUAAGGUUCCUGAAUAGACCACUUUGAGAAGAACGUCGUGGUGUCGCUCCUUUCUGCGGGACAGAGACAGAAGCGACAGAAUCCUCUCUGCCCAUUUACAGGAAAACACAGCAGUGAGCUCCUCCUCCUAUACUAUCUGAGUUUCAUGUCCUGAGGCACAGUUCUGCCUGCUUCCCUGGAGUCCUGCUUCUACCCAUGACCUGACCUCUUCUACAGCAAGCCCAGCAUCUGUGUGGUUUUCCCUGUCCUCUGUGUUUCAUCUUCUGAAUCAUACUUCUUCUGGCAACCCAGUACACUAGCAGCCAUCAGGGACUACCAGUUUUGCUUCCACCACUAGAAGCCUGCUGCAACCAGGAAUAUCCAGAGGCCUGAAGCCAUCAGUGACUAC